rnacentral:rRNA from 11 species
AAGGAAGGCAGCAGGCGCGUAAAUUACCCAAUCCUGACAUAGGGAGGUAGUGACAAUAAAUAACAAUACAGGGCCUUUUAGGUUUUGUAAUUGGAAUGAGUACAAUCUAAAUCUCUUAACGAGUAACAAUUGGAGGGCAAGUCUGGUGCCAGCAGCCGCGGUAAUUCCAGCUCCAAGAGUGUAUAUUAAAGUUGUUGCGGUUGAAAAGCUCGUAGUUGGAUUUAUGCUAUGCUGGUACAGUCGACCCCCUGGGUAGGACUUGUAUUGUUGCAUUGCACACUGUAGAAUUUGUGUAUGUUUUUCAGUAAAUGUGCAGAAUACUACUUAGUUACUUUGAGGAAAGUGGAGUGUCACACGCAGGUUGCGCCGUGAACAUGCUAGCAUGGCAUGACGCUGUAUGACUACGAGUCUUUUUGAACGGUUUCGGGACACGUGGUAAUGAUUGAUAUGAGGUGUUGGGGAUACUCAUAUUUGACAGUUAGAGGUGAAAUUCUUGGAUUUGUCAAAGAUGAACAAAUGCAAUAGCAUUUAUCAUGGAUGUUUCAUUUGAUCAAGAACGAAAGUUAGGGGAUCGAAGACGAUCAGAUACCGUCCUAGUCUUAACCAUAAACUAUGCCAACUGGAAAUUGGAAUAUAUGGAGAGAAAAUAUAUUCAGUAUUGUGCCUGAAAAGAGUAAGUGUGUGGGCUCCGGGGGGAGUAUAGUUGCAAGACUGAAACUUAAAGGAAUUGACGGAAGGGCACCACCAGGAGUGGAGCCUGCGGCUUAAUUUGACCCAACACGGGAAAUCUCACCAAGUCCAGACAUACGCAGGAUUGACAGAUUAAUUGCUCUUUCUCGAUUGUAUGGGUGGUGGUGCAUGGCCGUUCUUAGUUGGUGGAGUGAUUUGUCUGGUUAAUUCCGUUAACGAACGAGAUCCUAUUCUGCUAACUGUUGCAACAGUCUUUGGAAUGUUGGUACACUUAGAGGGACAUUGCGUGAGUAAUGCACGGAAGAGUCGGGCAAUAACAGGUCUGUGAUGCCCUUAGAUGUUCUGGGCCGCACGCGCGCUACACUGACGCAUUCACCGAGUUCUUCUGUCCUGCAUCGAGAGGUGUGGGUAAUCUGUUGAACCUGCGUCGUGAUGGGGAUAGAUUAUUGCAACUAUUAAUCUUCAACGAGGAAUUCCUAGUAAGCGUGAUUCAUCAGAUCGCGUUGAUUACGUCCCUGCCCUUUGUACACACCGCCCGUCGCACCUACCGAUUGAACGUUCCGGUGAGACCUUGGGAUUCUGUUUUUGGCCGUUUAUUCGGGUAUUGACGGGAGAACUUGAGCAAACCUUAACGUUUAGAGGAAGGUGAAGUCGUAACAAGGUUUCCGUAGGUGAACCUGCGGAAGGAUCAUU